UGAAGUUUCAGUUCUGUUCGAGUCCACAGCAUGUAUCUCAUCGUAAAGCCAGACAUCUGACUUCAGGGACCAACGCACAAUGGAGCCUUCUCAGACACUUUGUCGUGAAGUUAAAAUUCUCACUACACACCUCUGAAUAACACCCUCCUGCUAUUUCAUCUCAAACGUUUCAUUUUCGAACUACGGUAAAUAACAAAGCAGCCUCUUCGGAAAUUUUCAUUUCUGUCACAGUACAGUGACCAACAUACCAUGCAACCUCAAAACAUCUGUCUUCGCAUUCCACCAAGAAUUGUCUUGUUUUACUCGCUCUCUGAUGUCAUCGUGACAUCUCAAGAGAGAGAGAGAACAAAAAACUUCGUCUUUAUUAAAUCUCACCCACCCUACCCAGCAACCCACAGUAACCUAUAACCUGAUCCCGCAAAACAAGCGAAAGCUAGUAUCUCCAGCGGUCACCCUCUUACUCUCCUUCCCACCAUCAUUCUCUCUCCUCGUAGUCUCCUCCCCGUCCCCCUCCCUCACUUUCCCUCACUAGACUAUUUUCGUUGUACCCCCACCCCUGGCUUGGCCCCCCCUUCCGGCAGCAGACCUUCUCGUUACUUCUGCAAACAGUCUGCUAAGUCAAACAAACACUUUAAUGAAAGGGAAAUGUAAAAAAAAAAAAAAAAGGAAAAAAAGAUUAGUAGCGACUUGCGAAAUGGGGGACUAUACCAUCAUUACCUUCUGCGCGGUGUUGUAAGGGAGGCGACUGGCUGCGCCAAGGGGGAAUGUUUUGAGGACCAGACUUGGGAGCGUGUGACCGCUACGCCACUUCUGGCACCGUGAGAUCGCGGAGAUUGAUAUCUGGCAGCUGAGGUUGCCGAAUGAACCACUGUUGUCGAGGGCUAUAAAUGCUGUCCCCCUUUCGUUGGUGUUGGACAGAGAGGCAGCUGCCGCGGCCAUGGAUCACAGCGAUGUAGCCGGUGUGUGACUCCGGCGUUGAAGAGUUCCUCUCUUAACGACUCGACGUUUCCCCUCAACCCACCUUCCCUUUCGUCGCCGGUGUGAUCGUUCGACAGUGUGAGCGUUUACAGGUACCGGGGAACCUGUAACGAGACGAACCGCGUUCUGAUGUUGACGAAGACAAAGGUGAACUGAUGAGUAAAACUGCAACCUGUCUGGUUCACGUCUGUGCAGCAGAGCGGCUGUCAGAAUGCACACGACUGCACUGGUUCCCAUGGAGACGUGAGGCGAGGUACCAAACAAGACGUACACCAGGACCGGCCACACGGAGCUGUACAGACCAUUCUCCAUCUUGACAGAGGUCAGCUCACCGAAGGCCAAGGCCAUUGGGAUCUGAAGGAUGCCGACAGUCAGGCCGGCAGAGAGAUCCAUACACUUCAUCGAAGGCGGCCUGUGGUAAAGGACAAUGUGUACAUAAAGACAGAGAUCUCUCCAUCAACAGAGAAAAGG